CUCUCCGCUGUGACCCGGGCCGGAGGAAUCCCGGGAGCGGCUCGGCAGCCGCGGGAAGAAGGGGAGAUGCAGGCGGCCGCCUCUGGCUCAGCUGGCGCCGCGGGAGGGGCAGGAGGAGGCAGCUCCCAAGAGCAGCAGCUCAACCCAUUGUCUCAAGUAUUCCAGGAGUGUAACUGAAAGCACAUGCUUUAUACAAGAGUGGAAACAAACAGUACAUUACAGAUGAACCCAUAAUCAUCAUACCCCACUUAAAAUGAUGCAACAAUCCACAAUAUUUGUCAAUAACGGAACACAGGAGAUCUCAUCCUGCAGCCAGAAUUCCCAGGAGUAGUCUUAUUCAUGUCAGCUCCCAGACUACUGCACUGGGCAGCACAGCAUGGGGAGGAGGUGACCAGCCCUCUGUGGAGAAAGAAGUGGUUCGGGACUAUUUAGAAAAGCUGGAUGAUGCGCUGCAUCCAAGAGUGCAAAAGGAGUUGGCGGAUGUGAUUGCAGAGCCAUUGGCCAUUAUCUUUGAAAACUCAUGGCGAUCAGGGGAGGUCCCGGACGGCUGGAAAAAGGCUAAUGUAGUGCCCAUUUUUAAAAAAGGGAAGAAGGAGGAUCCUGGGAACUACAGACCAAUCAGCCUCACCUCAGUCACUGGAAAAAUCAUGGAGCAGGUCCUCAAGGAAUCAAUUCUGAAGCAUUUAGAGGAGAAGAAAGUGAUCAGGAACAAUCAGCAUGGAUUCACCAAGGGAAGUCAUGCCUGACUAAUCUAAUUGCCUUCUAUGACGAGAUAACUGGCUCUGGAUGAGGGGAAAGCAGUGGACGUGUUGUUCCUUGACUUUAGCAAAGCUUUUGACACGGUCUCCCACAGUAUUCUUGUCAGCAAGUUAAAGAAGUAUGGGCUGGAUGAAUGGACUAUAAGGUGGAUAGAAAGUUGGCUAGAUUGUUGGGCUCAAUGGGUAGUGAUCAAUGGCUCCAUGUCUAGUUGGCAGCUGGUAUCAAGUGGAGUGCCCCAAGGGUCGGUCCUGGGGCCGGUUUUGUUCAAUAUCUUCAUAAAUGAUCUGGAGGAUGGUGUGGAUUGCACCCUCAGCAAGUUUGCAGAUGACACUAAACUGGGAGAAGAGGUAGAUACGCUGGAGGGUAGGGAUAGGAUACAGAGGGCCCUAGACAAAUUAGAGGAUUGGGACAAAAGAAAUCUGAUGAGGUUCAACAAGGACAAGUGCAGAGUCCUGCACUUAGGACAGAAGAAUCCCAUGCACUGCUACAGAGUAGGGACCGAAUGGCUAGGCAGCAGUUCUGCAGAAAAGGACCUAGGGGUUACAGUGGACGAGAAGCUGGAUAUGAGUCAACAGUGUGUCCUUGUUGCCAAGAAGGCCAAUGGCAUUUUGGGAUGUAUAAGUAGGGGCAUUUCCAGCAGAUUAAGGGACAUGAUCGUUCCUCUCUAUUCGACAUUGGUGAGGCCUCAUCUGGAGUACUGUGUCCAAUUUUGGGCCCCACACUACAAGAAAGAUGUGGAAAAAUUGGAAAACGUCCAGCGGAGGACAUCAAAAAUGAUUAGGGGACUGGAACACAUGACUUAUGAGGAGAGGCUGAGGGAACUGGGAUUGUUUAGUCUGCGGAAGAGAAGAAAGAGGGGGGAUUUGAUAGCUGCUUUCAACUGCCUGAAAGGGGUUCCAAAGAGGAUGGAUCUAGACUGUUCUCAGUGGUAGCAGAUGACAGAACAAAGAGUAAUGGUCUCAAGUUGCAGUGCGGGAGGUUUAGGUUGGAUAUUAGGAAAAACUUUUUCACUAGGAGGGUGGUGAAACACUGGAAUGCAUUACCUAGGGAGGUGGUGGAAUCUCCUUCUUUAGAAGUUUUUAAGGUCAGGCUUGAUAAAGCCCUGGCUGGGAUGAUUUAGUUGGGGAUUGGUCCUGCUUUGAGCAGGGGGUUGGACUAGAUGACCUCCUGAGGUCCCUUCCAACCCUGAUAUUCUGUGAUUCAGAUCAUCACACGAUAGAACCAGUAACUUCAACUACACCCCGUAAUGAACUGUCAGCCAGGGCAUGUCACAAUGCACAGGUGUAAUAUUUUGUAUGAAACAUCACUUCAUAAACAGGCCUGUGAUUUCUGUACUAGCUGCUAUUUCCAGAUGUUUUAAGGUAUAGCCCCAUUACAAUAAUCCAAGGAAAAUUAUUACAAUAAGAGCCAUAUCUGAAAAAGACACAACCUCCUCCUAAGUGCAAAUGAUAAAAUGUGCUCUUAGGAACAGCUGCCAUCUGAGUAAUCAGGAGCAGCCUGGGAUCCAACAAAACCCCCAGGCUGUCGAACCUUUGAAACAGUGGGCAUACCCUCUCAACCAAGGAUGCUGAUAUCCCAGUUCUUCCAUUUGCUUCUCCCAUCCCUAUAAGCAUUUUUCCUAUCAUUCCUACACAGUAGAGGGAAUCCCUGGGUGACUUAGGCCUGGUCUACAAUACAAAGGUAGGCCUACAUAAGCUGCCUUGCGUCAACCUAGUUGUGCACGUGUCUACAGUGAAACUUGUCUUCCACCGAUGUGAGCUCCCCAUUACGCCAACAUACCAAUACCACUUCCCCAAGGACCACUGAGCCAUGGUUGAUGUAUUGAGAUUGACACAGCAUGAACAUAGACACACCGAUGUCAACCCUAAUAGUCCUCCAGCAGCUGUCCCACAAUACCCAACACUUUGGUCACAGUUGUGAACUCCACUGCCCAAGGGUCAUGGAGACUGGAAGUUCCCCCUACCCCCCUUUAAGCCCUGCACGGUUUUGAAAUGCCUUUUAGUGAUUGUCCAUUUUGGUGAGAACACCUAGCAGCUCUCCAUUGUUGCAUGCAACUUCCCAGCUGACCAUGCCAGCUACAUGCUUGGGCCUGUGGAGAGAAGAGGCUGUUCAGGCACAACCUCGGAUCACACACAGAAACGUGGACAUCUACAGUUAAAUUGAAUGGUGGGUGCAGGAGAAGGAAUCGGGGAUCAGCAGCAGUGCCGCAUGAAAGUGAAGGAACAGCAGCAGGCAUAUCAGAAGGCCAGGGAAGCCAACAGUUGAUCUAGUGCCAAGCCACAGACCUGGCACUUUCACAAAAAGAUGCAUGCCGUACUUGGCGGAGACCUGACCACCACCUCGCAUACCGCUAUGGGCACCUCCAAUGAGCCCAAGUUACAGACUCCUGGCAUGAACAGCGAGGAGGAGAAGGAUGGGGGAUGUGAGCUGGGGUCCAACUAUGCCCUGAGCUGUUUGAGACUCCACCAUAGUCCAGUUAGUCAAGCACGGGCAAACCUGAUGCAGGGGAAGGAAUCUUGGCUGCUGCCAUUCAGGCCAUGAGGGGUUCCCCCUCCACACCCAUGGAUGCCUGAGCCAGAUAAAGAAGAGAAAUAAGAUAUUUAGGAUGACAUGUACAGCAAGAUCCUGCAAGCCAGUGCUGUAUCAGACCCUGAACAGAGAGCCUGGAGAAAGGCCCAGAUGUCAGAGAGCGAGAUGCACCAGGAUAUAAUAGGGUUUCUCCGGCAGCAAACACAGAUGCUGCAGACUCCUGUGGACCUACAGGGUCAAUAAUCCUGGACUCACCUACCUUUGGUGAACUCCAGUACAUGGAGAAUUCUAGUAUAGCACACUCCACUCCCCAUAAAUGCUACUCAACAUUCCACAGAGUAUCAGGGAUCAUGUCCCUACCCCUACCAGUCCACACUGGGAGAUAUUAAGGACAACUACAGCUUCACCUAUGAGAGCCAUGGUAGCUGUAUGUGUUGCUAAAUUGGACAUGAUUUCAUUCUUCAAGCUCUGUUCCAUAUAUUUAUUAAGGUUUUAACAUGUUUUCUUUUUUAAGCUGCACAACAUUUUUUGAAGUGUUUUCAUUACCCAACAAAACAGUAUUUUUUGGAAAAUAAUUCAUCUUUAUUAGUCCCAAACAUAUGCUGCAGAAUGUGUGGUGGAAGUGAAAGCAUCCACUUGUUGUUGUACGAUAUGACACAGCUCAUAGGAUCAGUGACAAACACAGUGUAAUAAUUAUAAAUGUACAGGGAGCCCCACAAAAAUAAUAGGAGUAGUGACCGUAUUAUAUCCAUAAAUGUGCACCAAGCACCACACACUUCCUAACAGACCCCCAAGCUUCAGGGCCAGGUAGAGAACAGUACACCAUGAUGCAUUUCUGUGGAUCACUGUUCAAGUGCUUUUUCAAAGCUGCCCUGAACCCUAAAGUUCUGCUUCGAGCUCUUCUGAUAGCUCUUGUGGCUGGCUGUUAAAACUUAGCAGAUUGCUGCUCCACCUCCACCCCAGUAGCAACUUUCCUACUUUUGCUUCUCAGCUAUUAUGCAGGACACAAAAGGCACCUCUAACCAUUGGGAUAUUUUUCUCACUGAGAUCCAAUCUUGUGAGUAAGGUACACCAGCACCCAUUCAGUCUACCACUGGCACAUUCAACUGUCAUUCUGCAGCUAUCAGAGGAACAGCCGUGUUAGUCUGUAUUCGCAAAAAGAAAAGGAGUACUUGUGGCACCGUAGAGACUAACCAAUUUAUUUGAGCAUGAGCUUUCGUGAGCUACAGCUCACUUCAUCAGAUGUUUACCGUGGAAACUGCAGCAGACUUUAUAUACACACAGAGAAUAUGAAACAAUACCUCCUCCCACCCCACUGUCCUGCUGGUAAUAGCUUAUCUAUUAUCUAUUCUGCAGCUACUGAGCCAGUAGCUGAAUCUUUCUUUGGUGCUGUGACGGUGGCUGAUAUAUGGCUUCAUGAGUAAGGGAUAGUCUGAGUCCCCCAGGAUCACUACUGGCAUUUCAACAUUGCUAAUGGUAAUCUGCUAGUUGGAAAAGAAACUCUUUGCUUGUAGCUUUCUAAACAGUCCUUUGUUCUUAAAGAUAUGAGUGUCAUGUACCUUCUCUGACCAGCUAACAGUGAUAUAGGUGAAACAUCCCCAGUGAUCCAACAGUGCUUGAAUAACUAGAAAACUAGCACUUUCUGUGGAUGUACUCUGUGGCAAGGUAGUGUGGUGCCAAAAUAGGAAUAUGUAUGCCAGCUAUCUCUCCACUGCAGUUUGAGAACCAUGUUGCUGGAAAUCCAUCUAUUAUACCCUGCGCAUUGCUGAGUGUCACAGGCCUGUGUAGCAGGAGGCUAUUAAUGGCCCUGCACAAUUCCAUGACAAUGGCCUCUAUGGUGGAUUUUCCAACUCCAAAACGAUUUCCAACUAACUGGUAGCAAUCUGGUGUUGCAAGCGUCCACAAUGUGAUUGCCAUUCUCUUUGCCAUUGUCAGUGCAGGUCUCAUUCUGGUGUUCCUGGGCUGGAGGGCUGGGGUGAGUGUGACAGAUCCAGGAAUGUGGCCUUGUGCAUCUGAAAGUUUUGCAGCUAUUGCUCAUCAUCCCAGCCCUGCAGUAUGAUGUGACACCAGUCAGUUCUUGUUUCUUGGGUCAAGAAGUAGCGCUGCACUGUUCACAGCUGUGAACACCAACAAUCUUGAAUUGGUUCUCUCUAUGUCUAACAGCAGUCUGCCCUCCAGGAAAAUUGCCCUAUUCCCGGUGGCUCUACUUGCAGCUCUGCAAAUACCAAAGGCUUGGGCGUCCUGUGCUUGCAAAACUCAUGACAGUAGUGCAGAGCUGUGCUGGCUCCAUGCUUCUGUUAGAGAUGGUGGACAGCAACAAGUCCGAUGUUGGUUUGUGGGAUUUUCAAAAUAGGCAUGAAAAUUAUGGGCUAGAGAUGGCAUUAUAGGGUGGAGAAAGUUGUGUGAUGGAAACUUAACCCUGCAGUUCCAGUCACCUCUGUGUGACAAAGCAUUGCCAAAACUUCCCAAAAGAGAGCAUCCUCGAUGGUGGUAAGUUGUACACUGUGAUUCCUACCACACUGUGCAUCAGAACAAAUGGUUCUGGUGAGUAUGUGCAGUGCUGAUGCAAGGAGCCAAGUAUGCAUGUGCACAAGCAAUAUACUAACUGCAGUGGCUUUAUGCCAACGUAACUUGCAUAGGCAAAAGUUUGUAGGGUAAAUAGCGUGUGAUCCCCAGCAUAAGGGGUGUGGCAGAAUUCCCCUUCACUCCAGAUAUUCUUGGCUUCCUGAAUGACCCUUUGGAGCUGUGGGCAGUUAAGUGUAAAUUAGAGCAGUCUAAGGGCUGUUCUGUGUUACACUAGAUACGUUCCCAACUAGUCUCUGACUCCAGGGGGCUGCAGAGGUGGCAUACUGCCAACAGCAGCAAUUUCCUGGAGGGCAGACUGCUCCAUGCCCUUUUAAAUCGCGGCCCUGGGGCAGCGACUUCUUUCCCCCGUCCCGCCCCACUCCCCUGUCAGUGGCCGGGGG